UACGUAGGGUGCAAGCGUUAAUCGGAAUUACUGGGCGUAAAGCGUGCGCAGGCGGUUAUGUAAGACAGAUGUGAAAUCCCCGGGCUCAACCUGGGAACUGCAUUUGUGACUGCAUAGCUAGAGGUACGGGUAGAGGGGGAUGGAAUUCCGCGUGUAGCAGUGAAAUGCGUAGAUAUGCGGAGGAACACCGAUGGCGAAGGCAAUCCCCCUGGACCUGUACUGACGCUCAUGCA
rnacentral:rRNA from 1 species